AGUCAGGCAUGCAAAAUAAUCCUUAAAAUCACAGGGUGUAAAACCGAUAACUUAUCGUAGCAAUAGAACAGUUCAUCUUAAUACGGUUUCUUAAACAGUGAAGCCAGACAAAAUUCCGGUAAAAUUGGUAUAGCUUAUAAGGAAACAAAGCUGUGCGUUCGAAGGUACUAAGGUAGGCGACAUUGUCCUUCCUGUUGUUGAGCAUAUUGUAUUAUUGAGGUUCGUCCAUGAAUUUCACAAUAUUAUUAUAUAGGCUGAAAUGAACCGUUUAUGUUUAGGAAUUAAAGAUCGAUCCUGUGUGCAUCGACUGAAUUUGAUUUAAUAUCAUUUUGGUGUUGGUAGGUGUUAAAUAAUAAUUAUAGUAACUCAUCGUGAAUAACAUAUGCCUGCAAUUUGCAAAAUUUGCUUACACAACAAUUCCUAUACCUGCAGAUAAAAUACCAGCAAAUAUAUUCUCAUUAUCCCUGCAGCCUGUUUCAGUUGUAUUAGAAGUAUAGAUAUUUAUUUCAGGAUUAUAUGUAUAUCUCAUUCAUAUCUGGUUUUGUUCGCCUUGACUUGAUACAAUUACUGAAUCAGUUUGAUAUUUUCACCUCUUGUCAUGUGAUGUCGAUUAUAAUACAAUGGGCCUAGAAACUUAAUGAAACCAUCAAACAUCCAACGUUUAUUGAAUACUCUAUCCUUGUAUUAACUUAACAUCCAGUUGUAGCUGUUGGUAUAUUUCCAAGCUUGAUAUAUACCUGAAUGUAACAGAGUGAUGUAUCUGAAAGUAUCUGAUAUAUCUGUUUGGUCACAGGUAUUAUGUUGACAAGAUACAUCUGCGUGGCUUGCCCAGACUUCCUGAAUAUAUUAUGAAAUUAUUUCAAGUACAAGACAGCACACACCAUAGCAAAUCAUCAAUGUUCUCAUUCUGUAUCUACUCAAAACAUUAAUAUAUCCAAUUUUUCAGUCCCUAAUCCUCACGGAUGUACUGUAGGCAUAUGUAAUAUUAUCUCUUUAAAAUCUGGCAGUCGCUUGCAUCAUGAAUGAGCCUUGAAUAAACAUGUUACACUGCAUGGUAAUAUUCACUGGCAGUACGGUUGUUCAGUGUGUAUAUGUAUGUAUGUGAGUGUAUUGUAUAGCAGCUUAACAUCAAGAAUCGAAUCAGCAAUAAGUAAAACUCAGCACUAAAACCCCCAUAAACGCAAGCAAUUGAAAUCUGAAAAAUACAUUAGUAGCCUAAAGCCCUGAUCAAACCAGAACGGAAGCCAUUGCAAGUUUUAACUUGCACUUGCUUGUGCCUCGUUUGAUCAUUAACUUGCGUUAACUUGCGUUAUCUGUAAUAUUGAACAACUUAUAUUGAUAGACUUUAGAAAUUUUUUAGACUUUAGACUUUAUUGUAUAAUUAAGUGUAAGUAUUUAUGUUGUAUACAUGUAGCUUAAUUAGAGGGCUCUCAUGAAAAUCACUUUUGGUGUCUGAGACCACCUCGGUAGUCGGUAAAGAAUGUGCAAAUACAAAUACAAAUACAAAAUACAAAAAUUUGCGAUGACUUGCGAAUGAUUGGAACUCAGGGUUCAAACUUUAUCGCAAGCUUUUUUAAACUUGCGAGCAUGCACUUUGGAUACGUUUGAUCAAGAAGUGCAGGUUCAAGGAAGCUUUUUACCCCAGUUUCCAUGGAAAUCAAAGGAAU